UUCUUAUCUAGAGAGGUGGAGGGAUAUGGCCCUUUGAAGCCUCGGCAACAGGUCUGUUUAGUUAGAUACUGUGCCAAUUCCAUCAAGCAAUUGCUUGGAAGAUAAGAG
rfam:Oceanobacillus picturae, S1, WGS project CCAX01000000 data, contig: 000001